rnacentral:rRNA from 1 species
GGUUAAGCGACUAAGCGUACACGGUGGAUGCCCUGGCAGUCAGAGGCGAUGAAGGACGUGCUAAUCUGCGAUAAGCGUCGGUAAGGUGAUAUGAACCGUUAUAACCGGCGAUUUCCGAAUGGGGAAACCCAGUGUGUUUCGACACACUAUCAUUAACUGAAUCCAUAGGUUAAUGAGGCGAACCGGGGGAACUGAAACAUCUAAGUACCCCGAGGAAAAGAAAUCAACCGAGAUUCCCCCAGUAGCGGCGAGCGAACGGGGAGCAGCCCAGAGCCUGAAUCAGUGUGUGUGUUAGUGGAAGCGUCUGGAAAGGCGCGCGAUACAGGGUGACAGCCCCGUACACAAAAAUGCACAUGCUGUGAGCUCGAUGAGUAGGGCGGGACACGUGGUAUCCUGUCUGAAUAUGGGGGGACCAUCCUCCAAGGCUAAAUACUCCUGACUGACCGAUAGUGAACCAGUACCGUGAGGGAAAGGCGAAAAGAACCCCGGCGAGGGGAGUGAAAAAGAACCUGAAACCGUGUACGUACAAGCAGUGGGAGCACGCUUAGGCGUGUGACUGCGUACCUUUUGUAUAAUGGGUCAGCGACUUAUAUUCUGUAGCAAGGUUAACCGAAUAGGGGAGCCGAAGGGAAACCGAGUCUUAACUGGGCGUUAAGUUGCAGGGUAUAGACCCGAAACCCGGUGAUCUAGCCAUGGGCAGGUUGAAGGUUGGGUAACACUAACUGGAGGACCGAACCGACUAAUGUUGAAAAAUUAGCGGAUGACUUGUGGCUGGGGGUGAAAGGCCAAUCAAACCGGGAGAUAGCUGGUUCUCCCCGAAAGCUAUUUAGGUAGCGCCUCGUGAAUUCAUCUCCGGGGGUAGAGCACUGUUUCGGCAAGGGGGUCAUCCCGACUUACCAACCCGAUGCAAACUGCGAAUACCGGAGAAUGUUAUCACGGGAGACACACGGCGGGUGCUAACGUCCGUCGUGAAGAGGGAAACAACCCAGACCGCCAGCUAAGGUCCCAAAGUCAUGGUUAAGUGGGAAACGAUGUGGGAAGGCCCAGACAGCCAGGAUGUUGGCUUAGAAGCAGCCAUCAUUUAAAGAAAGCGUAAUAGCUCACUGGUCGAGUCGGCCUGCGCGGAAGAUGUAACGGGGCUAAACCAUGCACCGAAGCUGCGGCAGCGACGCUUAUGCGUUGUUGGGUAGGGGAGCGUUCUGUAAGCCUGCGAAGGUGUGCUGUGAGGCAUGCUGGAGGUAUCAGAAGUGCGAAUGCUGACAUAAGUAACGAUAAAGCGGGUGAAAAGCCCGCUCGCCGGAAGACCAAGGGUUCCUGUCCAACGUUAAUCGGGGCAGGGUGAGUCGACCCCUAAGGCGAGGCCGAAAGGCGUAGUCGAUGGGAAACAGGUUAAUAUUCCUGUACUUGGUGUUACUGCGAAGGGGGGACGGAGAAGGCUAUGUUGGCCGGGCGACGGUUGUCCCGGUUUAAGCGUGUAGGCUGGUUUUCCAGGCAAAUCCGGAAAAUCAAGGCUGAGGCGUGAUGACGAGGCACUACGGUGCUGAAGCAACAAAUGCCCUGCUUCCAGGAAAAGCCUCUAAGCAUCAGGUAACAUCAAAUCGUACCCCAAACCGACACAGGUGGUCAGGUAGAGAAUACCAAGGCGCUUGAGAGAACUCGGGUGAAGGAACUAGGCAAAAUGGUGCCGUAACUUCGGGAGAAGGCACGCUGAUAUGUAGGUGAGGUCCCUCGCGGAUGGAGCUGAAAUCAGUCGAAGAUACCAGCUGGCUGCAACUGUUUAUUAAAAACACAGCACUGUGCAAACACGAAAGUGGACGUAUACGGUGUGACGCCUGCCCGGUGCCGGAAGGUUAAUUGAUGGGGUUAGCGCAAGCGAAGCUCUUGAUCGAAGCCCCGGUAAACGGCGGCCGUAACUAUAACGGUCCUAAGGUAGCGAAAUUCCUUGUCGGGUAAGUUCCGACCUGCACGAAUGGCGUAAUGAUGGCCAGGCUGUCUCCACCCGAGACUCAGUGAAAUUGAACUCGCUGUGAAGAUGCAGUGUACCCGCGGCAAGACGGAAAGACCCCGUGAACCUUUACUAUAGCUUGACACUGAACAUUAAGCCUUGAUGUGUAGGAUAGGUGGGAGGCUUUGAAGUGUGGACGCCAGUCUGCAUGGAGCCGACCUUGAAAUACCACCCUUUAAUGUUUGAUGUUCUAACGUUGACCCGUAAUCCGGGUUGCGGACAGUGUCUGGUGGGUAGUUUGACUGGGGCGGUCUCCUCCUAAAGAGUAACGGAGGAGCACGAAGGUUGGCUAAUCCUGGUCGGACAUCAGGAGGUUAGUGCAAUGGCAUAAGCCAGCUUGACUGCGAGCGUGACGGCGCGAGCAGGUGCGAAAGCAGGUCAUAGUGAUCCGGUGGUUCUGAAUGGAAGGGCCAUCGCUCAACGGAUAAAAGGUACUCCGGGGAUAACAGGCUGAUACCGCCCAAGAGUUCAUAUCGACGGCGGUGUUUGGCACCUCGAUGUCGGCUCAUCACAUCCUGGGGCUGAAGUAGGUCCCAAGGGUAUGGCUGUUCGCCAUUUAAAGUGGUACGCGAGCUGGGUUUAGAACGUCGUGAGACAGUUCGGUCCCUAUCUGCCGUGGGCGCUGGAGAACUGAGGGGGGCUGCUCCUAGUACGAGAGGACCGGAGUGGACGCAUCACUGGUGUUCGGGUUGUCAUGCCAAUGGCACUGCCCGGUAGCUAAAUGCGGAAGAGAUAAGUGCUGAAAGCAUCUAAGCACGAAACUUGCCCCGAGAUGAGUUCUCCCUGACCCUUUAAGGGUCCUGAAGGAACGUUGAAGACGACGACGUUGAUAGGCCGGGUGUGUAAGCGCAGCGAUGCGUUGAGCUAACCGGUACUAAUGAACCGUGAGGCUUAACCUU